CUGGAAGUUGAUACCCAGAGUGGCUGG
rnacentral:piRNA from 1 species